UUGGCGGACUUCGCGGCAGAGUGGACGGACCCACACCAGGGCGAGCCUCGUAAGGAGUCGCCCUUGCCCGAGGAGGCCACCUCCGGGUGGCUGGAACAUGCACUUCGACGGGGCCUUCGUGCGCCGGAGCGUGGGGGCUGCUGUGGUUCUCACUACGCCCACAGGUGAUAAGCUCUAUUACGCAGUGCAACUCCGUUUCAGGCAUCGUGCCCCAUACUCCUACCCACUCUCGUGGAAGCCCCACGCUCGGCGUUGGCAGAUGCCCCAUGCUCAGCGCUGGCGGCGUAUUCCUAGCCGCUCUCAUGGAAGCCCCAGCUUGCGCUGGCGGAUGCCCCAUGCUCAGUGCUGGCGGCCUACUCCUACCCACUCUCAUGGAAGCCCCACGCUCGGCGUUGGCGGAUGCCCCAUGCUCAGUGCUGGCGGCCUACUCCUACCCACUCUCAUGGAAGCCCCACGCUCGGUGUUGGCGGAUGCCCCAUGCUUAGCGCUGGCGGCCUACUCCUACGCACUCUCGUAGAAGCCCCACGCUCGGCGUUGGCGGAUGCCCCAUGCUCAGCUCGGGUGGCCUACUC
rnacentral:lncRNA from 1 species